UUUCGGUCAGCAUUGCGUAUACCCACUUCUAAAUCCCCCUGAUGCGCACCAUUCAGUAAUAUCUGUGAGCCAGGUAGCCCAUUUUUUCCUUAAGGAUCAUGAAGCCACGACCCACCCUCUUCUGCCUCUAAUUGGCUGGUACUCGCAGCCUUCACUGAUUAGAUUGGUUAACUUUAGACAUGAGUACAGAUGAGCCAAUCAGAGGCAGAGGAGGGCGGGUCAUGCCGAGAAAAAUAUUGCUAACACCUCAGGUGCCAGUGGAAAAAAAAAAACUCGCUAACGGUAGACAGCAGGCGGCGGUAUGCCAACCCAGUUGAUGAAGGACAUCAUCCUGCAGGUGAGUUUUAAGGUGGUUUCCAAAUAAGUCAUUGUUUUAACCUACUGGCAAUAUGACUAGACAUUUAGAAGAGACAAGAUUUUGUCACCAGUAGUUAAACUGUGCGAGUUGCUAGCGUUAUGAAAGGCUAAUGUUACCCUAAUGUUAGGUUGCUGAAGCUAGCUAGAUUGGAAUAAUGAGGGGAAACCGCGCCAUUGUUGGUUUUCAGUAAGUGUUAAUUAGAAUUUCAUACCAGACUAAUGUUAGAUGAAACUGAUUAUCUCAGUUUCUAUGAAGCUUGUUUGUUACUGUGAAGGUCUAAAUUAUAACGUUUAAUUUAAAGGUAAUUUUAAUUUUAAAGUAGCUAGGCUGGUAGUUGAUUUUUCAGUACAGUAAGUUAAAAACACAAGAAUUGGGACAAAUAGUUUAAGAUUCGGCCUAAAACAAUAUUGAGGUCUAAUCAGAAUGUCUUACUUUGUUUAGGGACAGACAAAAAUGAAAAGAAAGGGAGAUAUUGCAGAUUUUUUUAUAAAGAGGCACAAAUCAGGCCCAGACCAGCCCCAGGCAGACCCCAGCCCUGAAACCAGCAAACCUGGCAGCUCCCACCUGGGCGCUAGCCAGGCAAGUCAACCCAGUCUACCACCACCAGGUCAGAACAUACAGAGGAAGUAAAUUCUCCAGCUUAUUGAAAAGUGAAGCCUCAACAAAUGACAUAAAUAAUGACUGGCCAGACCUGUGGAGUGCUAAACAAACAGAAGACUUCAAAUCCAAGAACCCCUGGUUGGGAUCCAAAAACAAAAAAUUAGCUUUUUUUGGACUACUUGGAAAAAAGGAAAAAAACGUGGUGAAAAUUGAGUAUACCCACUUCUCCAUGGACCACUACACC